GCCAGAUCACGUUGAAACACCGGUUGUCGUAAGAUCACUGAAGUUAAGCCACGUCGAGCCUGGCCAGUACCUAAAUGGGUGACUACUUGGGAAUACCAUGUGA